rfam:Triticum urartu cultivar G1812 contig1203649, whole genome shotgun sequence.
AUAGUACUCCCUCCGUCCCAAAAUUUUUGUUUUAGAUUUGUCUAAAUACGGAUGUAUCUAGUUACGUUUUAGUGUUAGAUACAUCCGUAUCUAAGACAAGAAUCUUGGGACGGAGGGAGUAGUAU